UACGUAGGGGGCAAGCGUUGUCCGGAAUCAUUGGGCGUAAAGAGCGUGUAGGCGGCCAGAUAAGUCCGCUGUGAAAACUCGAGGCUCAACUUCGAGCUGUCGGUGGAAACUAUUUGGCUAGAGUCCGGAAGAGGAGAGUGGAAUUCCUGGUGUAGCGGUGAAAUGCGCAGAUAUCAGGAAGAACACCCGUGGCGAAGGCGGCUCUCUGGUACGGAACUGACGCUGAGACGCGAAAGCGUGGGGAGCGAACAGGAUUAGAUACCCUGGUAGUCCACGCCGUAAACGAUGGGUGCUAGGUGUGGGGGGUGUCAACUCCCUCCGUGCCGAAGCUAACGCAUUAAGCACCCCGCCUGGGGAGUACGGCCGCAAGGCUAAA
rnacentral:rRNA from 1 species